rnacentral:rRNA from 1 species
GAGUUUGAUCCUGGCUCAGAACGAACGCUGGCGGCGUGCUUAACACAUGCAAGUCGAACGUGAUCCAGAGCUUGCUCUGGUGAAAGUGGCGCACGGGUGAGUAACGCGUGGAUAACCUGCCCUGGUAUCUGGGAUAACAUCUCGAAAGGGGUGCUAAUACCGGAUAAGCCUACGGACUCCUCGGAGUCUGCAGGAAAAGGAGGCCUCUAUUUAUAAGCUUCCGUAUCAUGAUGGGUCCGCGUACCAUUAGCUAGUUGGUGGGGUAAUGGCCUACCAAGGCGACGAUGGUUAGCUGGUCUGAGAGGAUGAUCAGCCACACUGGAACUGAGACACGGUCCAGACUCCUACGGGAGGCAGCAGUGGGGAAUUUUGCGCAAUGGGGGAAACCCUGACGCAGCAACGCCGCGUGAGUGAUGAAGGCUUUCGGGUCGUAAAGCUCUGUCAGAGGGGAAGAAAUGAAACGUGCUAAUAUCACGUUUUCUUGACGGUACCCUCAAAGGAAGCACCGGCUAACUCCGUGCCAGCAGCCGCGGUAAUACAAGGGCGMMYY